ACGAGCGGCGGACGGGUGAGUAACGCGUAGGAAUCUACCCGGUAGUUGGGGAUAGCCCGGAGAAAUCCGGAUUAAUACCGAAUAAUCUCUACGGAGGAAAGGGGGCUUCGGCUCUCGCUACUGGAUGAGCCUGCGUCGGAUUAGCUAGUUGGUGGGGUAACGGCCUACCAAGGCGACGAUCCAUAGCUG
rnacentral:rRNA from 1 species